AGACUGAUGGUGCUGCAGCAUCCGUUUGGCUCAACUGGAGCUGGAUCAGAGACGAGUCCACCACAAGACCUGUCACCUUGAACAUCAGAGAGACAGGCUGAAGAGAGACAGACGGGCACUGAGGGACACACUGAGACGGGUGGAGGCGGAGCGUUCAAGGUUCAGACAGCAGCUAACUGACAGCACCAGAUCUCAGGAGUCUGCAGACGCCACAGAAGAGCACCUGAGGGAAAGAGUCGGUGAGCUGGAGGAGCAGGUCAGCCGGCUACGUCUGUUAUUGGCUGCCGACCAGCAGCAGAGGGCGGAGUUCAUCCAGCGGUCGUCCAGGAACAGCCAACAGCUGCUCUCUCUCAGACACGACCUCAGGGAUUCACUGGACGCUGUCACACGUCGUCCAAUCCCAUCCGUCCUGGUGUCUGAGACGCAGCGAUUGGACCGCAGCCUCAGGGAGGAGGAGCUUAGGUUGUCCCUUAGCCAAUCGUAACCCCUGAAUACUAAAAACACUAUUGGGGACCAAAUGAACAGAACUGUGAGACCUGAUAUACAUGGAAUAUAUACAUCAACGGUUUUACUGUAGUUUUAUACAGAGUACAAAGUUCUCUUUACUCUGCGUUUAUAUUUGAGCCCGAUUUUAGGUCAAUGAGUUUAUUAUUGUUUUGUAUUUAUAUUCUGUUUUGACUACGUUUCCUAUGAUCCUCUAACCUGGCUCAUGUGAAGGUCAAAGGUCAACUGUGGGUUUUUGUGAAGCUCAAUAAAAACCAAGGCUUUGAUAAGA